rnacentral:lncRNA from 1 species
UGUCCAACAUCAACAAGAAAAAUUAAAGUCACAAAGUUUAUUAUCUUCUAUCAGAAAACAAAAUGCAAAACUAACACCUCCAUGAAGAUCCUCUGAUCUUGUUCCUGCAUCAAUUUUCAUCUUCAUCCAAGACUGUCUGAAUAGAGAAAAUAGAAUAAUAAGUUAUAGUCAGACAUUACUUGUUGAAACAAAUAUACUCCCUCCGUCCCUAAAAUAACUUCCUCUUUUUCCAUUUUGGGACGUCCCUCAAAUAACUUCUUCUUUCUUUCUUUCCAUUUUUUGACACCUACCCCACCACUAAUAAUACUUUAUUUAUUCUUACUUUUCACUUUUCAUCAUUCUCAAUAUUAAUUAUAACACUUUUCACAACUUCCAAUAAUAAUUAUAUCACUUUUUCUCCACUAUCAAUACACUUUACAACUUUUCAUUAAAACCCGUGCCGUCCCCAAAGAGAAAGUCAUUUCAGGGACGGAGGGAGUAUAUAACAGUCUCCACAACUCUCGCCAUAAUGUAUUCAUUUGUCCUGAUUGCAUGAUUCUUUGGUGAAAAGAGAAAAUUCAUCAAUCCAACACAGGCAUAAACAUAGCAAAACUACAAAAGAAGACUAAAUCAGUGAAUCCUAGAAUUGAGGGGGGAAAUGAACAAGUUAAAUCUACAACCAAAUAAUCAGUUCAAAAUUGUACAUCGUUGAUUAAAAAUCCCAAAUAGAGAUUAAAAGUUAAUUAAAUAUCAUAGUCAGACAAAAACAAGUUUGGCAACCAAUCUAGCUAUAGUAAAAAGAAAUUCAAUCGUCUUCUCUCCCAAAAACAAAAGAGGAAUUUCAAGCGAAAGGAAGUGCCUGCAUCUCUACUCCACCCCACCACCCCAAUCCAUGACAAAGAUUUAUGUUGUCGUAAAGUCCUUCCAUUUGUUUGGCCAGCAAACUACAAACUACUUAAGAUUGAAAAAUACCAAAGACAUAAAAAAUUACUUAAUAUUGAAAAAUAAGAAAUAAUUUAUAUGGAUACCUGAAAUUGCAGAGCAACCAGAUGAAUCUUGUUUAGAAUUUUGAUUCCCUUGUUCGGGUACUUCAGUUUAAAACCUAGACUUCUUCUAUGGGGCUUUCGAUUGGAGCGAGAACACUAGUGACAGCGCCGCACAACGCGCAAAAUCGAUGCCUAGGUUAUGGGUAGUAGGUGCAGCGGCGACUGAAGCAUUGAACAGGAUGUUGACGGCGCAGCGGCUCGGCGAUGACGACGGCGCAGCGGCAACAAUAGUGUGAGGCACAAUGAAUUUCAGAUUUUGAGUAUUUUGGCUGGUGUGAAAUAGAAAAUUGGUGGAAGUUUCACUAAGAGAGAACAAUGAAUGAAGGGGAUAUGGG